AGCAGCCGCGGUAAUUCCAGCUCCAAUAGCGUAUAUUAAAGUUGCUGCAGUUAAAAAGCUCGUAGUUGAAUUUCGGGAUCAAUAUGUUGGUCGUGCCUCGGUACGUACUAGCUUAUUGGUUUCUCCCUUCUGAUGAACCAUGAUGUCAUUUAUUUGGUGUUAUGAGGAAUCAGGACUGUUACUUUGAAAAAAUUAGAGUGUUUAAAGCAGGCUCACGCUUGAAUACAUUAGCAUGGAAUAAUGAAAUAGGACGUUUGAUUCUAUUUUGUUGGUUUCUAGGAUCGACGUAAUGAUUAAUAGGGAUAGUUGGGGGCAUUAGUAUUCAAUUGUCAGAGGUGAAAUUCUUGGAUUUAUUGAAGACUAACUACUGCGAAAGCAUUUGCCAAGGAUGUUUUCAUUAAUCAAGAACGAAAGUUAGGGGAUCGAAGACGAUCAGAUACCGUCGUAGUCUUAACCAUAAACUAUGCCGACUAGGGAUCGGAUGAUGUUAAUUUUUUAAUGACUCAUUCGGCGCCUUACG
rnacentral:rRNA from 1 species